rnacentral:misc_RNA from 1 species
UUUAUAAGUUAAAUAAAUUUAAUUAUUUCAAAAAGAAGUCUUAAUUAUUCCUGACUACACUUCCACACAAGCGUUGACUGGACGUUGUAACUGAGUUAACGGAUCAAACGGUUGGCACGUAACAAAAAUUGGCGCAGUCGGUAGGAUAUUCAAUAGAAGGCAAUUCCACAUCGGAACCACCGAGGAGCUGAACAACUUGCAGUCCUUCAACUUCUCAACUUCCAUUGAAUAGCUGAUACUCCACCGGAUCAUUCAGUCAACAACAUGUCUUCAAUCAACAAUUGUUUCUGUUUCCAAUGGUUCAAUUAUCGGUGUUGUUCCAACUGUUAAAAAUCUGUUGUCAUCGAGUUGAACGCAGACGAUCACACUGACUUCUGGUAGCUGCGUCCACAGAUCAGCUACUACAAAUUUAAACGGUUGCAUACAGUUGCAUUUUAACGGUUGCCCUACUUAUAGCGUAUAUAACGCGUAGUGUGUAACCGGAUACUUAUCGAUAUAGUAUUAUUUUCCCUCUAUCAAUAACGGCUGUCGGCGAUCAUAUAAGACUCUCCUACACCCGCGUAUGUUGUCUCUCCGCCCGACACACGAACGACGUAGCAAUUUUACGUUUAGCAGUUCAAAUGUAGAGAUGUUUUAGCUUUAGUAUUAGAGUAAACUGGCCUACGAUCAAACUUAUAGGGAACAACAUUAUCUGUGUUUUGUUGGUCGGGUUUUUCCGAUAUUUUUAUUUUUAAGCGUGCAAUGA